rnacentral:lncRNA from 1 species
GCAAAUUUUCCAAAUAUUCUAUUUGCACAUUUGAGGAAAGAGUUUCUUAUCCAAAAGUUAGUAGUUUUAAGUUCAAAUUACAGUCUUCGAGAAGCCAGAUGAGACCAUUAAACAGAAUGGUCGUUUCAUUUAAUGUAAUGAUUACGGUUGUCUUUUCCGAUAGUCUUAAAAUUUCAGGUUGUUUAGAUUAACAAAUUACAGGACAUUUUUUUUAACGAAAGACUUAAAUCUGAACAAAACACAAAGCACAUACAAAAUUAUUUAUAUCGCUGCAUGGAAAAGAAAUCGCAUUGUGCUGAUGAGAUUUUGUUUGCAUUUUGUUGUCAUCAUUAAGUCUUGCAUAAAAAUCCAAAGAAAAACCAAAUUACACGUGACACCAUG